UACGUAGGGUGCGAGCGUUAAUCGGAAUUACUGGGCGUAAAGCGUGCGCAGGCGGUUUUGUAAGCCAGAUGUGAAAUCCCCGGGCUUAACCUGGGAAUGGCAUUUGGGACUGCAAGGCUUGAGUGCGGCAGAGGAGACUGGAAUUCCUGGUGUAGCAGUGAAAUGCGAAGAUAUCAGGAGGAACACCGAUGGCGAAGGCAGGUCUCUGGGCUGACACUGACGCUCAUGCACGAAAGCGUGGGGAGCAAACAGG
rnacentral:rRNA from 1 species